UACAGAGGGUGCAAGCGUUAAUCGGAAUGACUGGGCGUAAAGGGUGCGUAGGUGGUGAUAUAAGUUAGUUGUGAAAUCCCCGGGCUUAACCUGGGAACGGCAGCUAAUACUGUGUCACUGGAGUAGAGUAGAGGAAAGUAGAAUUUCCGGUGUAGCGGUGAAAUGCGUAGAUAUCGGAAGGAAUACCAGUGGCGAAGGCGGCUUUCUGGACUCAUACUGACACUGAGGCACGAAAGCGUGGGGAGCAAACAGG
rnacentral:rRNA from 1 species